rnacentral:lncRNA from 1 species
CAGGUGACGCGCAUCCUUCCUGCAGGGCGACGGCUCCCGCGGGACCUCAGCAACCUGCCAGCCAGGCAGCUUGGACUUCCAUCCGCCCCAGCCCGGACCCCUACCACGUGCGCCACGUGCUCAGCAGGACGCGACGCCCACAGCCAUGCGCAUGCGCGCCCCGCCCACUGCGCCCUCGCUCCCGCACUGAGCUGGGCGGCGUCGCGCACGCGCAGUCGACCCCCGGGGCUUUCUCGCUUCCGAGCUCCCCAACAGCUCCGGGGAGAAUCUGCAGAACCCUUCCCGCCGCACGCCGUGCUCGUGCUCGCUCCCGACCCUGAGCCCCCGCGGCUCCCACGGUGGAAAUGCAUUUUGUGCGCUGUCCAGUGUGCUCCCGGCAGGCAGCGCGGGCGCAGUCACGGCGGAGGCGGGCGUGCGCGGGCCCAGGCUCGUGCCGCCGGGCGCUCCUCUCCGGGAGCUUCGGGGGGAACGCGCAGUCGCAGUCGUCGUCUGGGUGGGCCCGGGAUGCUGAGGAGCCGUCCCGGAAGUCCCGCCCCCGCGCCUAUCUGCCAGCUUCCGGGUGGCUCCUCGGUCGCAGAAGUCGUCGCCGGUAGCCUGGAAACGGGAUGUCCUGGCUUUCCCCCCAGGGGAUGCGUAUUUUAAAAGACACCUUUUAAAUCAGCACCAGUACUGGAGGUUUUGUUUUCAGUCCAAAUGGAGAAACACAGCAAGUCCAUGGAUUGGAAAGCUCAGGACCGUGUGCAUGUCCGUCCGCCCUCGACUUCAUCUACAGAUUCGACGUGGUCCCACUCCUUGUCCUGGAGUCCGGCUGUGCUGACCGUAACCCUCGCUUUCUGCGUUUGAGAAACUCGGUCCCCGGGCACCAGAACUCAUCCAUUGCAUCACCGCACCUCUCCUGGGUACCUUCUCUGCCACACCCUGUCUCCGUGUCUGUGACACCGGCCGUGGAGGAGAGGACGUGACAGGGCGCCGGGGACCCCCCCCAGCCGGGGGCGGACACUCGGG